ACCCGACCGGAUGAGCAAACUGUUCUAGACUAGUUUGUUCGCCCCGGAUCGUGUCG
rnacentral:pre_miRNA from 1 species